rnacentral:rRNA from 1 species
GCUACUCGGUAGUCGAUUUAGCCAUGCUAGUUGCGCGAGUUCAGACUCGCAGCAGAUAGCUCAGUAACACGUGGUCAAGCUACCCUGCAGACACGGACAACCUUGGGAAACUGAGGCUAAUCCGCGAUACCGAUCCCACGCUGGAAUGCCGGGAUCCACAAACGCUCCGGCGCUGCAGGAUGCGGUUGCGGCCGAUUAGGUAGACGGUGGGGUAACGGCCCACCGUGCCGAUAAUCGGUACGGGCUGUGAGAGCAAGAGCCCGGAGACGGAAUCUGAGACAAGAUUCCGGGCCCUACGGGGCGCAGCAGGCGCGAAACCUUUACACUGCACGCAAGUGCGAUAAGGGGACUCCGAGUGCGAGGGCAUAUAGUCCUCGCUUUUGAGAACCGUAAGGUGGUUCUCGAAUAAGAGCUGGGCAAGACCGGUGCCAGCCGCCGCGGUAAUACCGGCAGCUCAAGUGAUGGCCAAUCUUAUUGGGCCUAAAGCGUCCGUAGCUGGCCGUGAAAGUUCGUCGGGAAAUCCAUCCGCUCAACGGAUGGGCGUCCGGCGAAAACUUCACGGCUUGGGACCGGAAGGCUCGAGGGGUACGUCCGGGGUAGGAGUGAAAUCCUGUAAUCCUGGACGGACCGCCGAUGGCGAAAGCACCUCGAGAAGACGGAUCCGACAGUGAGGGACGAAAGCUAGGGUCUCGAACCGGAUUAGAUACCCGGGUAGUCCUAGCCGUAAACGAUGUUCACUAGGUGUGGCACAGGCUACGAGCCUGUGCUGUGCCGUAGGGAAGCCGAGAAGUGAACCGCCUGGGAAGUACGUCCGCAAGGAUGAAACUUAAAGGAAUUGGCGGGGGAGCACUACAACCGGAGGAGCCUGCGGUUUAAUUGGACUCAACGCCGGACAUCUCACCAGCUCCGACUACAGUAAUGACGGUCAGGUUGAUGACCUUACCACGAGCUGUAGAGAGGAGUGCAUGGUCCGCCGUCAGCUCGUACCGUGAGGCGUCCUGUUAAGUCAGGCAACGAGCGAGACCCACGCACCUAUUGCCAGCAGCAGUUC